GGGUUAAAGAGGGAGACUUUAGUCCCUUUUCUGAACUUGUUCCUCAUGAUUACACCUUUUAUAAUUGCCCCAGGAAAACUGGACGUGGAGGAGGACUUGCAGCUGUUUUCAAACGAAAGUUUAUUACACAUACCAUUCCGACUGGUGUUGUAACGGGACCGACGAGACGGGAGACGUGUGGAUCCAUGUGCGAGCUUUUAUUGAGCAGAGACGUGGUCAUACAGGCAGGGGCAAACAGUGCCAAACAGGUAUAACAUGGGCGAGACAGAGAGUAAACAAAGACAAGCGUGGGUCGACGAUCGGCGAACAGUAUCCAAAGGGGCUUGACAAGAGAGGUAAUCCAAAACGUGAGCGAGAGUCCAGUCAGGGGAAAACAAUCCGAACCAAGGCAAGGCUAGGAAAACUAACGGGGCUCUGUAGGGCAGCGAUAAUGCAUACAAUACUCGGCGACGAGGGAGAGAAAGUCCGUGGCUUAAAUAGGGUAUGUGAUCAGUGUGAUUGGUUACAGCUGUGUGCGUGUGAUCAGGUGAGCGUGUGAUUGGUGAGAUGGCUGAUGGGAAACGCAGUCCAUUGUGAUGUGUGGUGUGAAAGUCAAAGUGGUGAGCGAGUGACCUCUGGUGUUGAAUGAACGGAAGUGCAGACCAGAUUCGUCUACUCGAGCAUUGAGGUUCAACUUCUUCAAAUUGACUUGGUACAUCCAGUUCUCUGUGUUAUAUCGCCCACCGCGUAUUAACAAUGACUUUCUAAAUGAAUUCUCUGACUUACUAGGAGAACUAAUUCCACAGUUUGAUUACAUCUUAGUGUUGGGUGAUUUUAAUAUCCAUUUAUGUUGCCCCACUAAACCCCUGGUAACUGAAUUUAAAAAUCUUAUUGAUUCAUUUGAUUUUGUGCAAGAGCCUACUCAUGCUCAUGGUCACAUGUUGGACUUGGUUCUUUCACAUGGAUUCCAAUUAUCGGACAUUGAAAUCAGUGAAACUUGUUUUUCUGACCACAAACUGGUACUUUUUUCCUCUCAUUUUCCCGAUCCUGUAGUUGCUACACCUUCAGUGACUCGUUUGAAUCGUUAUUUCUCCACUCAGUCAUGUGAGAGAUUUGCGGCCUCUUAUGCAAUAACUGAUCCACCUGUGCCUGAACUGUCCUCUCCUGUGCAGUAUGUGAACAGACUUUUUGAUUUCUUCAAUCAAAAAUGUUUGUCUACUCUGAAUCUUAUUGCUCCGUUUGUCAGGGAUUCGUCACAAGCACCACAGUCACCACCCAGGACAAUCACCCGCUCACAGUCACCUGACUACUAAUCACCUGCACCUGCUGUCACUAAUCAAGCCACAGUAUAAGAACACACACUUCCUAACCUCUCAUUGUCCGGUCUAAGAUUGACUUCAUCUUCUCAAGAUAUCAGUCCAUCUAGAUUUCUAAAACAGAUUUUCAGUACCGUUGGACAUGAUCUUUUAACUGUUUUUAACACUAGUCUAAUUACUGGGGUCGUUCCUGAUUCCCUAAAAACAGCUAUACACUGUUAGACAUUUCUGUAAUUUCCACAGUUAUUUACUGUAUAUCACGCAGUAUAAUACUGCAAAUUCAGAAAUAUACCGGGGCAUCAGUUUACUGUCCGCAUCCACUGUAGAUAGUAUACAGUAUAUAAUGGGUUCUAUAUUGUUUUUUAUCGAGUCGCGCCGCACCACUCGCUCCGAGGAAGACACAGAUCCAGCGGGGCAGCGAUGUGGGUUUUUCCCGGGGAUGAACCCGUGAGAGUGAAAGAGCUCCGGAGAACAUCGAGAACAUGUGCGCUGUGUGUCGAUGCACUUUACGAGAGAAUAAGACCUGCAAGCAAGGCAACUGCAAUGAAGCAUCAAGAAAGACAUGAGCAGGCCAGCCAACCUGAGACUGAUAAUUCAUGAGAAGACAUUUCUGUCAAAGUGGAUGGUGAGCAAAGAUGGUGGCCACGUUUUGGAGCAGCACCUGGGUUUUGCAGAUGGCUAUGUAUUCUUUGGCUGCUUGUCUUUUUCCCCCCAUUAUGUUUCUAUUGCAUAAAGAUUCCUUGUGAGGAUGAACGUCCUAAGACAGGAGAAAUGUUGAAGAUGCACUGUUCCAGCAUUGGAAGUCUGUAU